rnacentral:rRNA from 1 species
GACGAACGCUGGCGGCGUGCUUAACACAUGCAAGUCGAACGGAAAGGCCCUGCUUUUGUGGGGUGCUCGAGUGGCGAACGGGUGAGUAACACGUGAGUAACCUGCCCUUGACUUUGGGAUAACUUCAGGAAACUGGGGCUAAUACCGGAUAGGAGCUCCUGCUGCAUGGUGGGGGUUGGAAAGUUUCGGCGGUUGGGGAUGGACUCGCGGCUUAUCAGCUUGUUGGUGGGGUAGUGGCUUACCAAGGCUUUGACGGGUAGCCGGCCUGAGAGGGUGACCGGCCACAUUAGGACUGAGAUACGGCCCAGACUCCUACAGGAGGCAGCAGUGGGGAAUAUUGCACAAUGGGCGGAAGCCGGAUGCAGCAACGCCGCGUGCGGGAUGACGGCCUUCGGGGUGUAAACCGCUUUCGCCUGUGACGAAGCGUGAGUGACGGUAAUGGGUAAAGAAGCACCGGCUAACUACGUG